GUCGACGUUGAUUGGAUAAUACACCUGAGAUUCUAAUUAGAAUGUUUUGUUAAGCUUUCUGCGAAGACUUGAACGAACGCUUUCAGUUCACUGGGAAGACGCUCCAUGUCGCUUCUGCGACUGAUGACACUGUAUCACCAAAUCCAUUUCCAGAUGGAAGCAGGUAACUGUAAAAGCGGACAAUGUGGAUAACAUAUGGGUGUCACAGCACGAGAUAGGGUACCUUUCUCAAAGAGCGCGCAGGGAGAGCUGGAGGGAGGUCGCUGAUCUGGUGGUGGAAAGCAUCAAAGUGCAUCGAAAAGUGCCCUAAUGGAAACAUAGCAGGACAAAACAAGGAUUGGAAAACACAAACUAACAUUGCAGUAAAUUAGACCUGGAGGUGUGCUGGGUUCCUACCUCUUGCACUGGAAGGGGCGGAGUUGAUCAGCUGUGAUGGUGCAGAGUGG